AUACGGAGGGUGCGAGCGUUGUUCGGAAUUACUGGGCGUAAAGGGCGCGCAGGCGGCUUGAUAAGUCAGAUGUGAAAGCCCACGGCUCAACCGUGGAAGUGCAUCUGAAACUGUCUGGCUUGAGUACUGGAGAGGAAAGUGGAAUUCCUGGUGUAGAGGUGAAAUUCGUAGAUAUCAGGAGGAACACCGGUGGCGAAGGCGACUUUCUGGACAGAUACUGACGCUGAGGCGCGAAAGCGUGGGGAGCAAACAGGAUUAGAUACCCCAGUAGUCC
rnacentral:rRNA from 1 species